GAAAUGCUUAUCUCCACUAUAAUCAUCUGGUUAAUAACAGUAAUACCAUUUAACAAGGAAUAAAAAAAAUGAACUAAACAAUGGCAACCAAAGAAAACGUUUACAGUAAGGUUUUUUUUUUUAAAACAUUUGAAAUAAAUCACAAUCUCAUAAUCCAGCUUUGGCACCAAAAAAAAGAACAAAUGACGGUAGCCGCAACACCGUGUAAAAAUUCCUGGAGUUAUUUAUGAUACAUGAGCCCGUUGAAACCAAAAUGAAACCAAUCAAACAACAAAUACAAUAAAUCUAAAACGUUACCAUAUUUACAAUGCUCUUGCUGGUAGAUUUUUGGGUUCCGAAACCGUAUCAACCGUCUUCUCAAUACCCAAUAACGACCAUGACAGUUCUCGUGGCGUAGUCGUAAUGGUUCAGUCGGAAGAUCCGUGACAGGUUGAAGCGAUAUGAAGAUGAAAAGGGUUUAGUUGUGCGGUGGUCGACGGCGUGGGUUACUUCGGUGGCGGAGUUCGAUCCACGGUGGAAGGAAAAAGAAGAGUGAGGUUGUUUAGAUCGCAGUCAGCUUGGUAGAUGGCGUUGAAGGGAAUUCGCGGCGGCCAUGGCGGUUAGCCGGAAGUUGUUGAAGGAUGUUAAGGGCGGAGAAUUCGAGACGUACGGUGGAGUGUGUAUGUUAUGGUGGUGUUUGUUGGAAGGUUUGAGUUUAUGAAGAAGAAGAGGAUUUGAAGGAAUUGAGUGGGUAAGGGUGUGACGGCAGUGCGUUUUUUCAAGGGGAAGAAGAAGGUGGAUUUCAGUGUUUUGUGUGUGUGACGUUUGGGAGCAGAAGAAGUAUUCCUCCCUUUUUGUUUUUUUCUGUCCCAUGAGUCCCCUUUUUCUUGAGACAGAGUGGUGAUCCCCACGUGAAGAAGAAAUCUCUUUGUUUCCCCUUUUUCCCCGUUAGCCAGCUGUUCCUCCAUUAAUAAAAUCCCAUUUUUGUUCUUAUCCCAUCUCUCCCAAUAACAUGAUGCCACGUUUCAUGUUGAGAGUAUGGAUAAAAAAUCUUCUCAAAUGCAAGCUGUCAAACGUGUAUCUUUCACAAGUAUACAACUUUAUUUUUAAUUUUUAAUUUUUAAUGUUAAUAUUAAUAUUAUUUGAUUUUUCAUGAUUAAUAUUAUUAUUAAUUGAUUUUUGAUUGGAUAAUGGAAUAUGAUAACGAUUGCAAAUGAGAUCCGUGGAUUAAUUUGUAUCAACGAUCCUGAUUAAUCCAAAGAAGCACAAGCAAUUUUAAAAUGUCCGAUAUGUCCCUUUUAUAUGAUUUUAAUUGAUUUAAAAUAAUUUAAAUCAUCAAAUCAAAUUAAAUUCGCAUCUUUCUAAAUACAUACGAUAAAAAUAAAAUGAGAAUACGAAAAAUUCUAUUUAUUUCUUUUGAACAUUUUGGCGAAAGAAUAAAAAUAAAAUGACUAAAAAUUAAUAAAAGUCGGACGAAAAUUUGUUUAAAAAAUUAAAUCGGACGCACUAAAAUGAUCAGCGCGAAAUAUACUUAUUGAAAAAAUACAUCAUUUCUUUUAAUUUUGAAAUAAAUUUUGACCGAUUGAAAGGCUUAGACGGAUCAAAAUGCGAUUGAAAAAGUCGUCGAAAAAUAUAACGAGCACACCAUGUUAAACUACGCAGACCAUAGAUUAAUAAUACUGGCGUAUGCAAGUUUAAUUUUGAAACUUUUUACACGCUGAUUUUGCACGUACUUGAGAAAUGAUUUAACCAAUUUGUCUAUAUUUUCAAUAAUUUAUUUCGACCGAUAUUUUAAGUAUUAUUCAUGAUGAAAUGCAUGUUAUGCUGUACAACUGAUGCAAAUUAAAAAUGAAAUCAAGUUUAUGAAAAAUUUAAAAUGUCUGGACAAAAUUGGGGUAUGACAGCUGCCCCUAUUUAGUUACCUUGAUCCGGAAAGUAAGAAUUACAGCAGUGUCCGUAAAUUCGUGGUGGAAGGUAAUUAAAUACGAAAAGACCCAAAUUUUGUCCUUUGAAAUGUGAUGGAGAAAUGUAGAAAGAAAAUGUAACGAAUCCUAACGACAUCCAGGGUAUUAGGGGUAGAAUAUCCGAUCAAUGCCAACCCUCGAGUCGACAUUUAAAUCUUGCAAAGGUCGUUAUUGAUAUGAGGACAAACCUGAGCAGGUUUUCUGGCACCAAAAGGAUGACAAUAGAAUUAAUUGCCAUCACCAAAAGGGUGAUAGUAAUUCACCAUGAUUUCCGGGAUCGUCAUCACCAAAAGGAUGAUGGAAUACCAAGCUUCAAAGGUAGUCAUCACCAAAAGGAUGAUGGUUAUCCUGAUAAAGCUUUCCAUUACCGAGGGGGUAAUAUUAAGACUAUCAUCAAAAGGACGAUAGUUAACUCAUCAACUUCAAAGAUCACCGUCACCAAAAGGAUGAAAGUAAGUUCAACGACAAAACUUAUUAUCACCAAAAGGAUGAUGCUAAGUCACGGCAACUUCAUUGGAUCACCAUCACCAAAAGGAUGAAGGUAACAUUAACAACAAAACUUGUUAUCACCAAAAGGAUGAUAAAAAGUCAACAAUCACCAUCACCAAAAGGAUGAAGGUACUACCAAACAACAGAACUUGUUACCACCAAAAGGAUGAUAAUAAGUCAACAAUAUUAAUGAUCACCAGUAUCCAAAGGAUGAAGGUAAGAUCAACAACGAAACUUGUUAUCACCAAAAGGAUGAUAAUAAGUCACAAACUUCAAAUGAUCACCAUCACCAAAAGGGUGAAGGUAAGAUCAAAUAACAGAACUUGUUACCACCAAAAGGAUGAUAACAAGUCAUCAACCACCAUCACCAAAAGGAUGAAGGUAAAAACAAACAACAAAGCUUGUUACCCUCAAAAGGAUGAUAAUAAGUCAACAACUCAAAUAAUCACCAUCACCAAAAGGAUGAAGGUAAGAUUAAUAACAAGACUUGUUACCACCAAAAGGAUGAUAAUGAGUCACAAUCACCAUCACCAAAAGGAUGAAGGUAUUAUUGAACAACAAAACUCGUUAUCACCAAAAUGAUGAUAAUAAGUUACAACAACUUAAAUGAUCACCAUCACCGAAAGGAUGAAGGUAAGAUCAGAACAAAACUUGUUACCACCAAAAGGAUGAUAGUAAGUCGAGACAAACUUUAAUGAUCGCCAUCACCAAAAGGAUGAAGGUAAGAUCAAAUGACAAAACUUAUUACCACCAAAAGGAUGAUAAUAAGUCAAAAACUUCACAUGAUCACCAUCACCAAAAGGAUGAAGGUAUGAUCAACAACAAAACUUGUUACCUCCAAAAGGAUGAUAAUAAGUCACAAACUUCAAAUGAUCACCAUCACCAAAAGGAUGAAGGUAUGAUCAACAACAAAACUUAUUACCACCAAAAGGAUGACAAUAAUCUUUAAUAAUGAGAGGUCUCCAUUCACCAAAAGGAUGAAGGUUGGACCCAAAACUUCAAGGAUCUUCGACACCAAAAGGAUGACGGUAAGAUCACAAAUGUCAAGGGUUUACCAUUACCAAAAGGAUAACGGUUAUCAUAAACAAGGAGAUGAUUAAUAUUAUUCCUCAAUGAACUUUCACCAAAAGAAUGAUAGUGAGAAAAAUAUUUGGAAUAAUAAAGCUACUGACAAAGUUCAAUAAACCCGACUUGUUGGGUAGUAUUAGAACGUUACUGGGUAAGACUUGCUUGGGGUAUCGACAAUAAAAGGUUGCAGAAAAAUAUUCUCUGGAAAACAUAAUUUCCAUCAACAAAAGGUUAAAAGAAACAUCUCAUCGAGGAACGCUCAAUGAGAAACAAGGUAGGGGUUUGAAGAAAAAUUGUUCGACUUAGAUGAGGGUAACACCUUAUUAACAAAAGGUUAGAGGAUGUAAAUCAACGGGGAACACCCAACAAUACAAGGUAAGAACUCACUCAGAGAAAAUAAUAAAUGACUCAACUGAGGGUUGGCCUGGACACCUACGACUAAACCUUGGAUCUUGAUUCGUGCUAUAUGCAUGAAUGUUAUGUAUGCGUUAUGUAUGAGAUGAUGUAUGCAGUGCAUGUUUGAAUGUAAAGGAUGAUUGGUUUGUUUAGAAUUGGUCCCCCCUUUUCAAAGGAGAUGUAUUUUCUGGAAACAAAUACUGGUUGUAUUUGUUUUUGUGUGGGUUCCAACAAGGUGGACUUUGGGUUUUUUGGUAAUUGCCAAUAUGAGUUUGAUUGUUGGUGGGUGAAAGGAUCUGACUUCCCGACACUUGGUAGUUUAUGAUCUGAUGAACACGCAAUGGAUGUGGAUACGCUCGAUGCCCUAAGUUUGAUUUCUUGCUGUUAUGUUGUGUCUUUGCCCCUGAGGGGAACUCGACUUCUUCUUCUGAGAUGUUGGGUCAGCUUGUAACCGAGCAUAGUGACAUGAUCAACGCAUGAUGAUUAUGCUUUUGACGUGCCGCAAGGUUUCUUGUCAAGAUGUGAUAUUGUACCGGUAUGAAGUUUUGACAUUUUGGUUGUGAUCUUAGACAGUUUCUAGUGUCUGACACAAUCUGCCUGACCGACUUGAAGAUAUGAAGUGAAUUUUCCCCUUGCAACUUGUCUUGCCCAGUCUGUAGGGUGUUCAAAGGAAUUAUCCUUGAAAGGAAACCCUUAGGAGUGAUUAUCCCAUGACAUGGUCUGAGUCUGUUUCCUCCAACGUUUGUCUCUUGUGGUGGGAUAAACACAGAAAUGGAUAACAAAUGGUUUUGAACUCGGCAUUCAUGUCGUGUGAUUUUCUCUCUUCUUCUUUUUUUCUCGUGCAUAACUCAUAGCUUUGGGGGUUUAUCCACUUUUGGCUCUUUUCAACUCAAUUCUUUGUGAGCAUUUUAAAGGUGUUAGAGUCUUAAGUCUCGGCAAGUGCAUUUUCUUUUUUUUUUUUUCUUUUUGGACAUACACAUGUCUCUACUUUUUGUAUUGCUUUUAGAUCUCUUAUUAUGCACUUGCCCUUUCUUUCAAGAUUACCACCCCAAACUUAGCUUUUUGCACAUCUUGUAACUCACAACAAUCAUGCCGAGUGAUGGGAUGAAAUGAACGAUUAAUGGUCAACAUGGGGUUUAUUACGAACAAAAUGGCUAAGGCUCAACGGGGUUCACGAAGGGUAAACAUAUAAACAUGGAUGGCUAGAAAGGCUCUGGAUUAAACAAACAACUUGCCUCAGUGCGUGUUGUCAUGCUGUGAAGUGUCAAAAGAACAUACGCAAAAUCAGAGUGAUAGAGUCAUACCUGGCUGAACUCUCAUGAUAUUUAGUGUUUGGCCUUUUUAUUCUCACCAUGUUGGUUAAACUUACAAGCUCUGAAGCCUCCUAGUGUCAUGUGGUUUCUUUUCUGAUUCGGUUCUACCAUACCGCUCUCUUGGUCCAGUGUCACCAAAUUGUGUCCGACUUUUACUUUCUCAUGGUUGCAUCAACUUCCGGGGUACCUUAAUAGAACAAGUAUGAGGGGUGUCUUUCAUCCACUACAACCGAUCCCGGAUUCGUCCACAAUUUCUCAUCACUCUGUACACACCGAUAAACAAUAAAAACAAACGUUGAAGGAAAACAUGAACAAAAUGAAAACGAAAUAAAACAUGAAAGGAAAACCCCUCCCCCCCCCCACACCUGAACUAAACAUUGACCUCAAUGUUUAAAUCCAGAUACAAAGGGGACUCACAGCGACUACUGUUGUUUUACUGCACUUGUGUGGUUUCCUUCCAUUUUGAGGUGUUUGUGACUUUAUUAAAUCCAGAUACAAAGGGGACUCACAGCGACUACUGUUGUUUUACUGCACUUGUGUGGUUUCCUUCCAUUUUGAGGUGUUUGUGACUUUGCCCUUCUAAUUCUCCUCCUCCCCUACAACAAAAUUCUAGCACACAAAAAGAAAAAGAAAAACGAAAUAAAUUAGAAAUCAAACGCGUGGGUUGCCUCCCACGAAGCGCUUCCUUUAACGUCGCAUGGCUCGACGGUUCAUUUCCCUUAUCAUGGGGGGUAUUUCAGGUUCAAAACCUUGUUGCACCUCUUGUCUCUAACUCGGACGUUGUCUCUUUUAUCAGUGUUGACUCCUUUGCACCACGUUCCUUUUUAACCUUCCUUUCGAUGUUAGGAAUCUUCCCGUUUAGGGUGGCUACUGGCAGUGGUGAGACUUUGAUAGUAUUCAAUGUCCUGAUUAAGCCUACUUGAUACUGAGAUUUUGUAUCUUCCUCCAUAUCCUGGUCUUCAAUAGCUUUCAAUGUUAUUUCCUUGUUGUGAACUUUCAAGGUUAACGUGCACUCAUCCAUGUCGAGCUCGCAUCGACUCGUCUUCAUGAAAGGUCUACCCAGAAUGAUGGGUGCCUCAUUGUCUUCAGGUAUGUCUAGGAUUACAAAAUCGACUGGGAAAGUCAAGUCCGCUAUUGUUACCAACACAUCUUCAACCAUACCAUACGCAUCUUUUCUUGAGUGAUCCGCAAACUUCAGAUUGGUCUUUAUAUCACUGAUAUUUCUAAUACCCAGCCUGUGAUAGAUCGAUAAUGGCAUCAGAUUCAUACUAGCUCCAUAACCUAUUAGUACCUUUUUGAAGGUUCUUUCUUUGAUUGUGCAUGGUACUGUGACGGUUCCUGGAUCCUUUUAUUUGUUAGGAAUGUUCUGCUCCAGGGAGUUUGCAUUAUAUUGUUCCUUACCGGAUACCUGUUCUUCAGUGGUUGGUUUCUUUUCAGCCAUUACCUCUUCCACGAAUUUCUUGUACAUGGGCAUCCUUUCAAGUGGUUCAAACAAAGCCAUAUGACCCUCAAUCCUUUUAAACAUUGUCAUGAAUUUCUCCAAGUCUGACUCACUAGGUUCCUUCUUUGUCAUUCUCUGAGGGUAGGCAACUUAAUCACCGGUUUAGUUCCUUUUGUAGUUUCUUCUUGAGUCGGCUCUCUCGGUGAUGUAAUUUUUUCUUUUUAGCAGCCUUUUUCUCUGUCGUCGUGACAGUAUUAAACAUCUCUGACCUCUCGGAUUUUGAACUGUUUCACUUGGUAGGGAACCUGGUGUUCGAGAACUUGCCAGUUGCUGGGCUAUCUGCCCCAGCUGAACUUCGAGAUUCUUUAGGGAUGCGGCGAUGUUUUUCUGAUUGUUUCUAGUCUCUUCUUCAAAUUGCCCAUUUUGAGCUGCCGUCUUUUCAAUUGCAAUCUCCCAAUCUGCCUUCUUUGGGACUUGAUUUUGCUGUUGCUGAUAUUGGUUUUGAUAUUGGCCUUGUACUUGCUGUUGCACAUUCCCUUUCUGAUCCCUCCAUGCAAAGUUUGGAUGAUUCUUCCACCCCGGGUUGUAUGUGUUGGAGUAGGGAUUGUUUUGCUUUAAAAACUUGAUAUCUUCUAUCUGUUGCGGUGUUGCAAAGCAAUGAACAGUAUUGUGUGGUCCAUUACAAAUGCCACACACAUCGUUAGGUGCCUGUUGUACUUGAGCCACUUUCUGCGCACCUAUGUUUAGUGCCUUCAACCUUUUCUCCACCUCUGCAACAACUGCUUCUUCAAUUUUUACCUGUUUGUUUAUUUUAAGCUUCAAAUCAAUUACUGCAGAUUUGCUUGACACCCUAUCAUACAACUCCAGAUGCUCAUUUGAGGAAAUUGCUUCAAUUAUCUUCUUCAUACCGGUGGCUGUUGCAAAGUUAGCUGAGCCACCAGCUGUUGAGUCAAGGAUUUGUCUCGUUUGAAUUCGAAGACCAUUAACAAACAUUUGCAUCUGCUCAGUUUCAUCCAUGUUGUGAGUAGGACAAGCCACUAGGAUUCUCUUGAAUCUUUUAUAGGCAUCUCCUAUCGUUUGAAUUCGAAGACCAUUAACAAACAUUUGCAUCUGCUCAGUUUCAUCCAUGUUGUGAGUAGGACAAGCCACUAGGAUUCUCUUGAAUCUUUUAUAGGCAUCUCCUAGUGACUCACCCUCCUUUUGCUUGAAGUUUAGGAUCUCCUAUCUUUUUCUCAGUGACAUAGAUGCGGGAAAAUAUUCCUGCAAGAAUGUUGUUUCCAUCUGCUCCCAUGUAGUGAUACUGCCAGCCGGUAAGGAAUAGAAUCACUCUUCGGCUUCAUCUGCUAAAGUGAAUGGGAACAUACGAAGCCUUAUUGCUUCUUCGUUAUGUCCAGGCAUUUUCAGCGUUGUGCUCAUAGUUAAAAAUCUUUGCGGAUGCUUGUUGGCAUCUUCAUUCACUCUUCCAGAAAAGGACCGCCUUUCGAGUUGAUUAAUUAUGCUGGGAUGCAAUUGAAAUUGUUUUACAUUAACCGGGUGGUUUACAAUUGUCAUCCGACCACCCGGAGUGUUGGUUCCACCAUUGUCACCGAGAAGUCUCUCGGGUGGUGGUGGUGGUGGUGGGUUUGCAGCCAUGAUUUCAGGAACUAUUUCCGCGUCUGAAUCUGAAUUCUCUGAGUGCACUGAAACAACUUCCUCCUCUGCUUUCUUUGCUAAUUCCAGUUUUUCUCUCUUAGCUUGUCUUAGUCUAGCACGAAGAGUUCUUUCUGGAUCUGCGUCAAAAGAAAAAUCCGCUGAGGCCUUACCUCGCAUAAACAAGUUAGACAAAUAUUAGAAUUGAAUAACAAGAUUGUCACAGAUAAAAUUUUGGUUGACGAGCAGAUAUAAAUUCACAAAACCAACCAAACCCUUGUCUUUUUGUUCAAAUAGAAUCAGAAGUAAAAUAAGUAUUUCCCCCGCAAUCCCUGAGAUCGAUACUUGGAAAUAAAAUCCUAUUACAUCAAUCGCGUAAAAAAGUACACUUGCUAAUUCCGAUCAAGUUUUUGGCGCCGUGUCGGGUAAUGCCAAAUAAAACCUAUUUUAAUUUUUAAUUCUUAUUAUGAAAUUUUACAAAAAAAGUUGCUCAGCAAACCAAAAAAUAUUUAUAUGCCUGUAGUGACACACAUCUUAUCAAUCUAAUAUUGAUACGCCAAAAUUAAACAAUUGUUUAUGCGAGACAGUAAGCCUCAAGCGGAUUUUCUUUUAUGACGACAAUCCACGAAAGAACUACUUCGUGCUAGCACUAGAGACAAGCAAACGGAGAAGAAAAACAAUGGAAUAGCAAAGAAAGGCAGAGGAGGAGGAAAGAUUGUUUCAGUGCAACUCAGGAGAAUUCCGAUUCAGACGCGGAAAAUAAAUACAAAAAUCGUUCCUCGACAAUAUCAAAUGGCAAUGCAAAACACCCACACCACACAACAACAACACUCCAAACCACACCACACACCUGAGAAAAAAACUUAUCGAACCAAGAUAACAAGAUUGAGUGGAAAACCAAACCACUCCGGGUAGUGGACGAUGACAAAAUGUGAAACACCCAGGUAUGAUUAAAAACACAUUAAAUUACAAUUGUACCCAGCAAUAAUUAAAAUGCAAACUCGAAAAGAACGACACGUUCAUUUAUAUAAAUCUGGAAAGAUAAAAAAAGAUACAGCGAGUAAACAACAAAACAUUGUUGAAUGAAAAAAUGGUAGGAACCACAAACAAAAGAAAAAAGCAAACAAAAAAUACAAACCAACGAGGACAAAAAAACAAAAAAAGAAGAAAAGAGAAUAAAGAGAAAUAAUUACUUAACUCAUGAGCCAACAACGGCUUGAGAAAAUGCCCUGAACCAUAACGAAGAAGCAAUUAAGGAGUUCGCUAGUCCAUUACUCUUAGCAGAUGAAAGUCACGAAGGAGGUGAUAUACAUCAUCAAACUUAAAGCCGAAAAAAAGUGCUCGGCCAAAGAAUCAACCACAUCGGAGCAAGAGUGGAACUAUAAAACACAACAUUCUUGCAGGAAUAAUUAGUCGACAUAUAUAGAGUCCACUAGGAGAAAAAAAAAGAAAUAAAAAAAAAAAGAACCAAAGCAAUUAAAAUAGCAAAAACAGCAGCCUGGGCAUUGUUACAGGAAGCAUCAAUCAAAUAAACCAACACAAAACACGAAAUUCAAAUUUCUGGAAAAAUUAAAAACAUGUAAGCUACAUUGAACAAGCCAGGGUUCUAUGGUUUUUUUAGAAAACAACAGCCAUAACAACCACAUCAUCAUUCAAAACAGCAACCAAAAACAACAGCAUUACAAAAUAUGCUAUUUCGACAGUGGAAUUCUCUUUCUGAAAGACAUGACUGAUUUGGCAACUAACAUAACCAGCUGCAUUCAUCAUCCUUCUACUAAUGUUAACCUACAUCAAUCAUAUAACAAGAUUUCAGAAUAGAGAAAGGCCCUAGUUCACAGAGGUGAACAUUCCCUCCCUCUCUUGGCAACCUAAGACAAGAGUCCUCUCCGUUUCACUACCUCCUGCCGAUUCCCCGGUUGUUCCCCCCCCCCCCCUCCCCCCGUUGUUGAGAGCAGAUUACCUCCUUGUGAAGUUUUAGCACUCUCCGCACAUUCUUCCUUUUUUCUCCAUGACCCCAUAGAGCGGGGACCAUCUCCUCCGCAAGCGGCACCCCCCCAUAAGCCAAAACCAAACACAAACAACCAAAUUCGGAGCCCAAGUAUGCUGGGCUAUUGUUAUUUGUUCAAACAACAGCAAAGCAAUCAUGUUCAUCAUGCAAUCAAACAGUCGAUCACAAUUGAAACUCAAACUAGCAGUGGGCGUAGCAAACAUGGGCAUUUGGUACAAGUUUGUUCAUGCCAACAUCACUUCACUCACACAAUCUGUCCCAAAAGUCUAAUUAAUUGUUUAACAACAGACAAGCAUAAGGCAAAGGAAAUUCCUGAUGAUGGCGCAGAGCUAAUAUUAUGAACCACAACCCAAACAGGUUAAUUAGCGAAUAUCAGAGAAUUCCUACAUCUCGCAUGGCUUCUCUCAAUUAUACAUCAUAACAAGUGUCGUGGAGCAAUAGGAAACCACAAUCAACCCAAAAUGGCCGUUAGCAUUGUGGCUUCGUCGCUAUUAAUGGAACAUCACAGGCCUUAGCAACAUCAACAACAACCAAAUUCUACAAACAUAUAGACACGUGUGGUGCAUCAUANUGGUUGGUUUUGUGAAUUUAUAAUAAUAAACACAAAAAGAUAGUAGAAAUAAUUGAUUAAGAUAAAAUAUGCUAGGGUGAGUGGUUGAUUUAACCAGUUAUGAAUUCAGUCAAGAUUUCCUUAAUACACAUGAAACAUUCAAUUACCUAACCGCAUAAUGUUCUUCCUUAAGUCCUUAAGGAAGAAACUAUUAAACUACCAAUUCUUACUCAAAUGUCCAUUCAAUUAAUCAUUGGUUUUAAUCAUAAACAAUAUCAAGGUUUAUGGUGAUUCACAAAUGUUCCUAGUCCUAGGUGAUGCAAUUAUAAACCCAAUUGUGUGAAAACACUAACAAUCACAAUCCUGUUAUUGAUAGUCAUAGAUCUAUUUGUAUUUGUCUGAUACAAAAGCAUAAGCACAUCAGACAAUUGAAUUGAAAUUCGUAACAUAGUAAUAAGGAAAUCCAUAGAUAGAAUUCAUAACAUCAGACCAAAUCAGGACCACCCCCCUAGCAUUGGGGGUUUAGCCUCUCAUAGUAUUCAAAGAAAUCAUAGUAUAGAAAUUAAACAUUACAAAGAAUGAGGAGAUUUUGAUCUUCAAUGGGUGAUGCCCUUGAAUCUCGCCGUCUUUGAAUCCUCCGUAGUAGCUAUCUUCUCCGGUGCAAUGUUUCUUUUCGUACGUCAAAAAGUGUCUUCUCUAUCUCUCCAAAGUCUUUUAAUAGCCUCAGAUGGUUUUUCCCCAGUAAGAAGUCCAAAAUACCCUUAAUGAACAGGGCAGAUCCACACAACAAAAAGUAAAAUUUCUCAGCCGCGCCCAUCAACACUGGCAGUGUGGAUACACAUGGGUGCCCGUGUUGAUUCACACGGGCCGUGUGAAUUUACAUGGGUACCCGUGUUGUUUUCAAGAGUUAUGUUUUUUAAAGCAAGCUACAGAGGCAUCAACACGGGCCGUGUUGAUGCACACGGGUGCCCGUGUUAACCCUCUAUUUUACCUCCUGGAGUGCUUGUUUCCGGACAAACAACACGGGCCGUGUUGAUGUACACGAGGGCUCGUGUUGACCUACUGUAUCUUCAUAUUUUGGCCUUCCGGAGCAUCCAAUACUCGGCUAUUAGUCCUUUGGAACCUAUGCACAACCUGCAACAUUAACACUACCAAAUCGAAGCAUAAAAAGAGACUUUUUGACAUAAACAAGUAACAAAAUGCAAUGCACUAAUAAACUAACAAAACUUGUUAAAUGACUUUAAAAUAACUAAAAACAACCACAAGUCUGACCAAACUGAUGAAAAUAUGUCGGAUAAAAGGUGGGAAUUCAAUGGAAAUGGUGACCGAUCAUCGGUUAUUCUUCUGUGCUUCAGCCAAGCUGACUCACCGAUACAACACUCGCGCCAAUCAACCCAAGAUCUUGGAACAUUUGGAACAAGAGAACAAGGAGCUGAAGGAUGAGAUUGCAUGGUUGACUUCCAUGAUGGAGGUUGUUCUUGCUCCGCAUAAUCAGUCUUCACCAACUCCCGCAACUCCUCCAUAGAGGAUUGUCGUUUCUUAGGUUUCUACCUCGACUAUUCCUGUUGAUGUUAGCCAAUCCGGGUUUUCUAUGCCUGCUGGAUUCCCAUAGGAAAUGCCGCCAACAUUUGUGCCUGAAGGGUUUAUGCCUACCUUUGUUUCUAUGCCAGAAUCUAGCCCGAUCAUGUCUAUGCCUCCUCUAGUUGUUCAUACUUUGCCUCGUGUUGAGGGCACCAUCAACCAUUCUGAGACAUCUGAGGGACCAGAUGUUUAUGAGAAGAUGGAUGAAAUAAAGGAUCGGUUCCUUGAGUUGCAAAAAGAGAUGAAAACAUUGAGAGGAAAGGACCUGUUUGGUAAGAGUGUUGCUGAACUCUACUUGGUACCAAAUGUGAAAAUCCUGAUGAAGUUCAAGGUCCAUGACUUUGAAAAGUAUAAGGGAAAUGCUUCUCUAUUUAGUCACCUUGUUAUGUACGCCAGGAAGAUGUCAACUCAAACUAAUAAUGAUUAGUUGUUGAUUCACUAAUUUCAAGACAGUUUAAUCGGUGCUACUCUGAGAUGGUAUAUGGAUCUAGACAGUGCAAGUGUUCAUACUUUCAACGAUUUGGGUAAAGCUUUUGCUAAGCAGUACAAGUAUAAUGUGGAUAUGGUGCCUGAUAGACACCAAAUAAGGUAUAUGUCUCAGAAGGAUAAGGAGACGUUUAAAGAGUAUGCUCAGAGGUGGAGGGAACUUGCUGCUCAGAUUAAUUCUCCAUUAGAAGAGAAAGAGAUGACGAAGAUUUUCCUUAAGACCUUGAGUUCAUUUUAUUACGAACGUAUGAUUGCCAGUGCCCCUAGUGACUUUACCGAAAUAGUAAACAUGGGGAUGAGGUUAGAAGAGGGAGUCCGUGAUGGACGUCUGUCUAAGAAAGAAGCGUUGUCCAAUAAGAAGUAUGGAAGUGGUUUCUCCAAAAGAAAAGAGGCGGAAACUAAUUCACUAUCUGUAGGGAGGCUGAGGAGGCCUCAUGUUAGAAGGAGUUCCCAACCACGUCAGCAUCAACAUCAAGUCUUUUCAGUGAUUCCCGUCUUUUCCAAUAGUUCCAUUAAUCAACUUGUUCCAAUUCAACAACAACAACAACGUCAACAACAACCGCAGCAAAGAACCACCACCACCACCAACAAUAAUCAACAAUAAAACUUUGAGAGGAAGAAGGUCUCUUUUGACCCUAUUCCUAUGUCAUACGCCGAAUUAUAUCCAUCCUUGGUUCUCAAGAACCUACUUCAACCCAGAAAUCCACCGCAAAAUCCCGAGCCACUUCCAUGGUGGUUCAAACCUGAACUCCGUAGUGCCUUUUACCAAGGAGCCCCUGGCCAUGACAUUGAUAACUGCUAUCCAUUGAAGUAUGAAGUACAAAAGCUUGUGAAGAGUGGGAUGGUGUCGUUUAAGGACCGUGCGCCUAAUGUGAAAGCCAAUCCUUUACCUGCUCAUGGUAAUGCUUCAGUCAACAUGGUUGAUGGUUGUCCUGGGGAGUUCAAUAUUUAAGACAUCCACUAUAUCAGAAGGUCCUUAGUGGCAAUGCAUAAGGAUAUUCGUAUGGUUAGUGAAUGUGAGCAUGACCAUGAUGGUUGUGCAAUCUGUAGUGUGAACCCUCGAGGAUGUGUUAUUGUCAAGAGGGAUAUUUAAAGGUUGGUGGAUGAAGGUCUUAUCCAAAGUUUUCAAUCCCGUCACUUGGGAAAUGAUGUUAAUGUGAUUGUUCCUAUGUUUAAGACCCCUGAGUGGGUAGUAAUCCAGUUCAAUAGUAGUAGCAGUAACAACGUUAAUAGAUCGGUAUCAUCGUUAGUAAUACGGUUAACAGGCCCCAUCCCGUAUGCAUCCGAUAAAGCUGUGCCUUAUCAGUAUAAUGCCACAAUGGUGGAGAAUGUCCAAGAGGUUCUGUUUCCCGUAGCAGAUUUUGUGGUGAAUAUAGCUGAUAUUGCAAAGGUGACCCGUAGUGGUCGUGUCUUCAGCCUGUAAGAAGGUGGAUGUGCCUGUGGUGAAUCCAGUUAGUGCUCCAGUUUGUCAGUCUGGUGAAUCCAUCAAGCUGAAGCCUAAUGAUAAUGAUGAAGUUUUGAGGUUGAUAAAAAGAAGUGAAUUCAAUGUGGUGGGGCAGCUUAUCUAAACCCCAUCAAAGAUUUCAGUGUUGUCUUUGUUCAUGAACUCCGAAGCACAUAGAGAAGUGUUGCAGAAAGUCUUAGAGCAAUCCUAUGUUGAGCAUGAUAUCACUGUGUGUAGCGGUAAAUUCAUGAUCAUCCAGCUAUGGAUAAGCUGGAGAUCAAUAAAACCAGAGUCGCCACCGCGCUUUUAUUAUUUUCAAGGGAAAAGGGAAAAAGUACGAACAAAACCCAAAAGUAAGAAGUUUUCAAAUCAAAACUAAUAAAAUGUCAGAGAUUACAGGUAAGGGGGUUGGUUACACAGAGGGAAGGUGUUAGAACCCAAAGUGUUCUAGGUACUCCAAGGGAGCCCUUUCUUGUGUGCGUAUGUAUUUUGUACAAAGUGAUGUUUACAAACAAAUAGAAUGGAGGGAUGAGAAAAGAAUUCAUUAAUUAUAUUUUUAUGUUUGAAAAGACCUUCGGACUUAUGCCUACAUACUGUAAGACCCUAAUUUUGACCCUAAGAUCCCUCAUGGCAUCAUAACAUUGCAUUUGCAUCAUAGCCUCAAGGAAAAUUUGCAUCUUGGUUCCCUUUGCCUUUGGGUGGGAUCUCUUGAGAUUUGGUUUGAGAUCACCAAGCAUGCUUGAAUUGUAUAUUAUUGCUUUUCUCAUUUUAUUUACUAACCAAAAGCACAAAAAUAUGUCACUAACAUCUUUUGUUUGUAGCUUGAGCAGUCAGUAUAUUAUUGCUUUUCUCAUUUUAUUUACUAACCAAAAGCACAAAAAUAUGUCACUAACAUCUUUUGUUUGUAGCUUGAGCAGUCACAAGGUCUAAAGCUUCUAGGAGAUCCUAUGUGCAUUGAUAUGGUUAAGAGAAGGUGAAAGCAAGCAUGGAAAUGGUUCCUAAAGCUAUCAUCCAUCAAAUAUGCCUCCCAAGUAUCUCAAUUUAUCAUUUUGAUCAAAGCAAACAAGGGGCUUGAGGCUUGUUUUCCAAGGGAACCCUACUUCAUCUGUUCAUCAACUAUGCCUUGCUCAUGAAGCAACCUCAGCCCAUGAUCAAAUUCAAUCAAGGGAAGUUCUUUAAUUCAUCAUUUCAUGCAUAUUUGAACUUAUUUGAGUGUCCUCAAUCAUCAACUCAUCAAGAUAUGAGUUUUGGACUUGAGAAGUUGAUCAGUCAAUUCAUCUAACCAUUUUGAAAUGCACUGAGACCUAACUUUUUAUGUGUUUGUCAAAUGGAGAUUACCCCAAGAGAAAAAAUGUUCUUAAGUAAUAUAUGAACAACUUUCAUGUUCAUCAAAAUUGAUUUGAAGCUUGGAAGGUCAUCAUCCAUUCCAAGACAUUAUAGGUCAUUUUGACUGAAACCCUAAUUUUAGGUCAACUUCCUAAGGACAUAACUCCUACAUUUUUCAUGAUUUUGAGGUGAGAUCUAAUGAAUUGGAGAGAGUAAGAUAUCUAAUUCAAAUGUUAUGUUUAGCAAAAUUGAAAAACCUCAAAAGAAAUACAUGUUAUAAUGCAAAACAUUAUAGGUCACUUUGGACCAAAUGCAUUGAAAUGUGAAAAAGUCCAACUUCAAGUGCCCAUAACUUCUUCAUCAAAAAUCCAAAUGAUGAAAAAUUUAAGUCCAAAUUGAUUGCCUUGAGACGAUCUACAACUUGCAUGUUGAAUAUUUUGUCAUUUGUAGUUUUCAUCAUUGAGACAGAAGGGCUUGAACAUUGGCCAAUUUUGAAAAUUUCACAUAUGCAUGUUUUGCACCCUACACUUCAAGUUCAAUUUUCAUUAAUUUCCAAGGCCCAAAUGGAGUUUUGAUCACAUUGGCCAAUUUUGAAAAUUUCACAUAUGCAUGUUUUGCACCCUACACUUCAAGUUCAAUUUUCAUUAAUUUCCAAGGCCCAAAUGGAGUUUUGAUCAACAUAACAUUUGUUCCUUAUGCAAUAAGAUUUCCAACCAUUACCCAUAAGGCUAUGUUUCAAUUUUGGAAGUAUCAUUUUCGAAGAGGGGAACUUUUAGUGCAUUUUUGGAAACUUGAUUCAAUUGCCAUGCAUGAUCCAAAUACAUAUCUUCUGCACGUCCAAAACAUAUUUGGUGAUGUUUAGCUUACCAUUCCAAUCAGAAUUGGGCCCUCCAUGCGCCUGUACUGGCCCAUGCAUGGAGGGCCUUUUCAUCCAUGCACACACUUUGCUCAUGCUUGCAGCUCCCUUCAUCUAUAAAUACAAGGCCUUGGCUUCAUAAUUGGACAACCUGAAGUCACCUGUUAUGCUGCACGAAUCCCUCCAUAGCCAUACUUAAAGGAACUUUCUCUUUUUCUUCAAAUUUUCAGAUCUAAAUUUCAGCUACACUGGUUGAUUUCUAGAUCUAUAGUUCCUAAACCUUGCUCAUCUUCAUCACUAGACUACACUGCAAGCAUUAGCAAAGGCGAAUUGUGCUCUCAAGAUCCACAUUUCAAAGGUGGAUAUCAGAACUUAUUUUCUCCGAAACUCUUUAUUCAUAGCUUAUUUCUUACAUUUGCUGGGUUGUGUGAAGUCCUCUCAAUAGAGGCAAUUGUUUUGUGCUUUGAAUUUUGCAAAUCCAUCAAGUUUCAGUUGAACACCAUAUUUUUCAACCUCUGAUUUCUCUCUCCAUGAAAGUCUAGAGUGAAAAUAGAUGGUACAGGGGUGAUGUACAUCACCCCAGCUUUACAUUGUUGUAUAGAUCGCCUCAUUUGGUGAAGGUUUAUUUUCUGCAACUCUCGUCGGAAUCUCUGGUCUCGCCGGAGAAGACGGUGGUGUACACCACCGUCCGUUUGCCAGUUUUGAUCCAGGUCGUUGAUGAUGAUUCCCAGAUUGAAUCAGGGCUCUUGGAUCUUAUGACUUUUUUUAAGUGUUUAUGUUGCUUAGUUGACUUAGGUCCAUGAUACGCGCGCAUGCCACAACCGUCUGAUCUGCCAGGUCAAUUAAUGAAUUGAAUCCAACGCGUGUGGUUUUUCCUAAUUUUCUAUUUCUGAUUUUAAUUUCCAUUUUAUUUCUCUUAUUCCAUUUCAUUUCAAAAAAUCAUAUCUCAUUCAUUAUUGAUCCAAAAAAUGUGAGACCAAUUGCAUUAUUUCUCUUUUAAUUUCUAGUUUCUAAAAAUGAUUUUUAAUAUUUUUUAUUUUAUCAUUUGAUAUUUUUCAUGAAUUUUCUCUUUUCUGGUUAUUUUUAAAUUUGAAGUUUGACCUUUCUUUAUUAUUUUAAUUCAAGUUUUAUUUAAAUAUUAAAAAAUGCCAAAAAUAUUUUAUUUGUUUCUUGACUUCUAAUUCUCAUUUUGCUUCUGUUUUCUAUUAUUUGACCUUGAUCUUCUCUAUCAUUGGUCAAUGUUUGUUGAUUAGUACAUACCAUUUCCAUCAAUGCACUUUAAUUCUUCAUUUUCUUCUUCUUCUUCUUCUUCUUUUUCUUUUUUGGAUCAAUGAGUUAAAGAUUGGUGGUUAGCAUUGAUUAGGGAGGUUUAAUCUUCCUUGAUUCAAAUCUAAUUCAUCUUUAUCAUGGAUCAAGUGAAUGGCUUUGCAUUAAGGAUAAAUUGCUUCCUAAAUCAUGCAAAGAACCUAAAUCAAUACAAGAUCAUUUCUCAUCUUCUUUUUGGCAUGGAAAGUUGUUGGAGUUUGAUUCACUAAUCAAGACCUCUAACUUGUGUUGUUGCCUACAUUAUUAUUGACCGGCCUCAGAUAGUUAUAGUUGUGACUUCUACAUAAGUCCAAUUACGAUUGCUUAACAUAGCGCUAAAUUUGCCUUAUGGCACACUAACUACUAACAUUAACCAUUAACCAUUAACAUUUAAUUCUUGCUCUUUACAUUUAUGAUAUUUAUUAUUCUUGUACAUAUUAUUCAUUUUCUUUUUCCUUUGCUCAUUUGAGCACAUGUUUAUGUUAAUGCAAUUUGCCUUUUGCUCACUUGAGCAUAUAAUUGUGUAUAUAUUAUUGUGCUUGUGUUUUGUUUAAUUGUUAUGGACCAAAUGCAAAGAAAUAGACAAAUGGACUUAGUUUCUAGGAUAUUCCCUAUGCAAAUUGGAGUAAAAGGAUCUUAAUAUUGAAGAUGGAUUGGAAGGACCAAACCUCUAAACUCACUCUUGUCCAUUCUUGAUUUGCUUCAUAAGACUCUUUGAUGUGUGUGUGCUUUUGUGCUAGGGGAUCCUAUGAGAUAUCAAAUUGAAGAAUCAUUGCCAUGUUCAUCCAAAUUGAAAGAUACAAGAGGCAUUGGGGAUCUUCUAAGAGCUUGUUUGAUUAUGUUGAUUGCUUGAGCUUACUAUUAUUUUGCUUGCAUAUUCCAAAGGAUGGGAGCUACUUGGAUCAUCAAUAUGAUCACAAGAGAGGAACUCCAUUUGUGGUCUUAUUUCUUAUCCCUUAUCUCUUAUAUGACUAGGACUUUAGCCAUUCUUUUCCCUUCCUCCACUCUAACCCAAGCUAAAACUUUUGUGCAAACAUUUAACACCUCUUUCUACACAUUAGAAACCUAAGCCUUAUGCUUUUCAUUUUCAAACUUCCUUUUAAUAACACUUAUUUUGAAUUGAAUCUUUAAGUCAACUUUGACCAUAUUUUGUAAAUACUUUUCAUUGGUAAAUAUAACCCAUUCAAAUACUUUUGUGGUUUCAAUGGCCAUUUCUAAUCAAAAUUUUUUCAUAACCUUUAGCUAUUAGGUUUGAGUUAUCCUUGAGGUUGAUGUAAUACUCACCUAUAUCCUUAGUGAUGGACAAUGAGUCUUCCAUGCUUAUUAUAGGGUUAACCCCUCACUAGCAUGUUAAAGCUAUCCUCACAUGGUGGAUUUGUGGUUUAGGUUGAGUUUUCUCCCUUGGAUAACAAAAGACCUUAAGGCUUUUGGACCAAUCAAUUCACCAACUCAUUUUUAAUAUUUUUACCCCGAACUACGAGGUUUUGAUCCUAAUCUUUUUUAAGAUGGUACGUAGGCAAUGGGUUUAUCCAUCCAAACACAAAAGGUAAAUAACUUGUAUAUUCUCUUCUCAUCUCUUCAAUCGUGUUUGCACAAACAAAUUUUCACAAAAUACCAACCUUACAACAAGUAUGAAAAUAGCUCCCUAGGAGUACCUAGGAUGUUUUGGGUGCUUAAAACCUUCCCAUUGCAUAACCAACCCCCUUACCCCGAUCUCUGACAUUUUUACUAGUUUUUGAUUCGAUAAAACUUUUAGGUUUUUGUUCAUAA
rnacentral:lncRNA from 1 species